rnacentral:rRNA from 1 species
GUGCAGCAGUCGAGAAUUUUUCACAAUGGGGGAAACCCUGAUGGAGCGACGCCGCGUGGAGGAUGAAGGCGUUUUCGUCGUAAACUCCUGUCAAACGGGAACAAGAAAGUGAUAGUACCGUUAGAGGAAGAGGCGGCUAACUCUGUGCCAGCAGCCGCGGUAAUACAGAGGCCUCAAGCGUUGUUCGGAUUCAUUGGGCGUAAAGGGUGCGUAGGUGGCUUGGUAAGUUGAAGGUGAAAUCUCGGGGCUUAACUCCGAAACUGCCUUCAAUACUGCCGAGCUCGAGGAUUGUAGAGGAGAAUGGAAUUCACGGUGUAGCAGUGAAAUGCGUAGAUAUCGUGAGGAAGACCAGUGGCGAAGGCGAUUCUCUGGGCAAUUCCUGACACUGAGGCACGAAGGCUAGGGGAGCAAACGGGAUUAGAUACCCGCGUAGU